rnacentral:rRNA from 1 species
GACGAACGCUGGCGGCGUGCCUAAUACAUGCAAGUAGGACGCAGUUGCGAACGGGUGAGUAACGCGUAGGUAACUACCUAUUAGAGGGGGAUAACUAUUGGAAACGAUAGCUAAUACCGCAUACUAGUAGAUGGACCUGCGUUGUAUUAGCUAGUAGGUAGGGUAAUGGCCUACCUAGGCAACGAUACAUAGCCGAACCUGGAAGGUUGUCGGCCACCAUGGGACUGGGAAAAGGCCCAGGAUCCUACGGGGAGCAGCAGUAGGGAAUUUUCGGCAAUGGGGGGAACCCUGACCCGGCAACGCCGCGUGAGUUAAGAAGGUUUUCGGGUCGGAAAGCUCUGUUGUUAAGGAAGCGGUACUUAACCAGAAAGGGACGGCUAACUACGUGCCAGCAGCCGCGGUAAUUC